rnacentral:rRNA from 1 species
UACGAGAGGUGGCAAGCGUUGUUCGGAAUUACUGGGGCGUAAAGGGCGCGUAGGCGGCCUUCUAAGUCAGACGUGAAAUCCCCCGGCUUAACCGUGGGAACUGCGUCUGAUACUGGGAGGCUUGAGUAUGGGAGAGGGAUGUAGAAUUCCAGGUGUAGCGGUGAAAUGCGCAGAUAUCAGGAGGAACACCGGUGGCGAAGGCGGAUCUCUGGGCCAUUACUGACGCUGAGGAGCGAAAGCGUGGGGAGCGAACAGG